GCAAGUCGAACGGAAUAAUGACUUCGGUUGUUAUUUAGUGGCGGAAGGGUUAGUAAUACAUAGAUAAUCUGUCCUCAACUUGGGAAUAACGGUUGGAAACGACCGCUAAUACCGAAUGUAGUAUGUUUAGGCAUCUAAAACAUAUUAAAGAAGGGGAUCUUCGGACCUUUCGGUUAAGGGAGAGUCUAUGGGAUAUCAGCUUGUUGGUGGGGUAAUGGCCUACCAAGGCUUUGACGUCUAGGCGGAUUGA
rnacentral:rRNA from 1 species